CGUCACUCGAAGCAUAUGUGAGGCAUACUUCAAGAAGUAUCCUGCUAGAAUUGGAUUCCUGCGAGUAGAUGCAUUGUCUCUGCUGCUUUCAAUGGCUAAUGUCACUGCCAACUCUCUGAUAUCCUGGUAGUGGAUAUGGUUGGUGGCCUUCUUACUGGUGCUGUAGCUGAGCGUUUAGGAGGUACAGGUUAUGUGUGCAAUACAUAUCUUGGAGGUACACCAC
rnacentral:misc_RNA from 1 species